rnacentral:lncRNA from 1 species
CUUUGUUUCACUUUAUUUCUCAGAAGAGAAUGACAAGAAGGUAUCUCCUGUGGAAUAUGCACUUAUCACUCCUAAUUCACUGAGACGCAGUAGACCCGAAUGAUCUAAAGAAGAGUUUACUUUUGGAAGAUUAUGAGAAGAGGAAAGUUUUCCAGUCAGCCUUAUUACCUAUUCACACACUGAUUGCCAAAUAAGCUCCAUGAGGCUCAUAGGUGGAAGGAACUUGCAUCUCUUGGAUGAGACUUUGGACUGUGGACUUUUGCAUUAAUGCUGAAAUGAGUUAAGACUUUGGUGGACUGUUGGGAAGGCAUGAUUGGUUUUGAAAUGUG